UAGAGAUUCGUGACCCUGUACCAAGGUAUUGGUUGCAGGGAGCGUUUUGGCUUUAACUUGUUGAUUUGUAAUGCCUGUUAGGUUAGCUCUCGUCAAUGGUGAUUUGAGUCUGAGACUAGGUUAGCUUGAGAGUCUCUGUUGCGGUGGCACUUAGAUUUGGUUAAUGAACUUGUUGUCUAGAGUUAAUUUAUUCAGCAUGUCAAUCACCUGUAAACUGA
rnacentral:sRNA from 1 species